CUGAAUUAUAUUAUGUUAUGUUAUAUUAUAUUAUAUUAUAUUAUAUUAUAUUAUAUUAUAUUAUAUAUGUAUAUAUUGAUGUAAUUCUGUAGAUAGAGGUCAUAGAGUUUCCUUGUUGAGACUUGCUCUUAGAUUCUUCUUUUGUUUCUUCUCUCGCCUGUGUUCUAUCUGAUUUGUUCCUAUUGCCCCUCUGCCACCAACGAGCAUCUUGGCUUUAAAAAAGUACAAAGGAAAGAGAUUGAGCUUCUUGAUCAGAAGGCUUGAGUUUGAGUCCAACUUCUGCUACUCAACUAGCUAUGUAUGGGACCGUAAGUAAGAGACGUGAAUUUUUUUUUUAAUUGUGGGGUUUUUUUUUUUGGAGGGGGUAGGUACUUAGGUUUAUUUAUUUUUAAUGGAGUUACUGGGGAUUGAACCCAGGACCCUGUGUAUGCCAAGCACGCAUUCUACCACUGAGCUAUAUCAUCCCCCCAACACGAAUAUCUUGAGAUUCAGUUGUCUUCUGUGUAAAAUAAGGAUGCUGAUUCCUAUUCUUACAGCUUUAUAGGAAUAUUGUUAAUGCCAAGUGGAAUGAAGCUACUCUGUGACUUGGAAAAUCAUUCUGAGGAGAAAACAGCCUUGACUCAGAUGGUGAGAAAGAGACACAAAGGUGUUAAACAGAACUCUGAAGUGUGAGCUACAAAGGAAGACAUCUCCAACCUCAGCAUCCUCUUUGCAUCAUUUGUUUCCCCAUCUGUAAGAUGAGAAGCACCGCCAGGGCCCUGGGAGGAAAAACUAAGACAAACAGACCAAGAUGCUGGCGGCAGAUAUGUUCUCUGUGGUUUCUAUGGUAAUAAUUCUGGGCUGAAGGGGAUUGUCACUAAAAGAGAGAAUUUUCCUCAAGAAAACCCCCAGUCUAGCAGUCUCUGGUUUGUCAUUGAAAUGCAGAAGCUGAACUGGGCACACAUUUUUUGCAGUAAAGAAAGAAAUGGCAGACAAAUGUUAGCUCUUUCAUUCAGGAUAACAUCUGUGGAAUACUGACCACGUGCCAAGGUGCCAGCAUUUUAAUAGGUGGCAAGACUACAAAGAUGGAAAGGGUAGAUUUAGCCUUAAACAAGUGUAGAAGGGAAAGCCACUAAUCACAACCACACGAGACAGAGGCAGAAGGAGCCUGGAACGCAGGGGAAAAGAUGUCUGCACGAGGUCCACGAAGGGGCCGACAGGUGAGCUGGUUCCUGGCGGUGCUCAAUGAAGAGGUGCCGCUAGCAAAAUGCAGAGUGGGAGGACAUGGAAGGAGAAUGUCUCCACUUUGGCAUUAAGUCUUAAGUCAGACCAUUAGAAUGUCAGUUCCUUAGAAGCUGACACCAUGUUUGAUUCAUCUUUGUCUGUCCUGGGGACUUUUCCCAGAACUCUGCCCCCAGUGGAACCCCAACAGACCUCUGUGUUUAAUUCACUCCCUUGUCUAGAAGGAUUCAGUAGCUUUCCACUGAUGAUGAAUAAAUUCCGGACCCCUCUUCUGGACUCUGAAGCCCUGUAUAAUCUCUAUUAAUCGUGAACUGCUUUGCCCUUCCCCGGCUCGAAUCUGUGACUCAUCACGCGACUGGCUGUUUCUCAUCCUCAGGUUUCCACGUAAACGUUCUCUCCUCGGAGCCGUCUUGCUUCAUCAGCUAGUCUGAGCAGGCUCCUCAUACUCCAUCCUGAUUUUCCCAAUUAUUGUACCCUAUUCCUAAAAUAUCUAUUGAAUAAAUUAAAUGUUGAUUGGAAUGAUAAUAGUAAUAAUAAAAACUAAAAUUUACUGGGUGCUUAGAAUAUGCUUGGCAUUACGC